rnacentral:rRNA from 1 species
AAGAUCGAAUGGGGAGAUUCAUCGUCAGCUUUGUCGGCUUGCGUGCUGCUCGCGAUGCUCGUCUUGGGACGUUAAUAGCGUUCUUUUGGACGGGCACGCGGUAGCUGCGUAAUUCUGUCCGAUGAAGUCGGCGUGCACUUCUCCCCUAGUAGGACGUCGCGACCCGUUGAGUGUCGGUCUAAGGCCCGCGAGGUUGACUGCCGGUGCGUCAGCGUGUCAAAGCGUUGGCGCCGCCGGUAGACCCGCGGUCGCCCGACCGACUGCUCGGCGGUAUAAAUUGUUUGAAAGUUCAAUGGUAUCGAGCCGCAUGAUUUUGAAUGCGUUCUUUUAUGGCUCGUCGGCAGGUGAGCCUCGCCUCGGAUUUUACGGACCUGGUGCCG